rnacentral:rRNA from 1 species
GACGAACGCUGGCGGCGUGCCUAAUACAUGCAAGUCGAACGCAGGGGGGACGGGUGAGUAACACGUGGGUAACCUCCCAUCAGAGGGGAUAACACUUGGAAACAGGUGCUAAACCGAUACUGAUGGAUGGACCCGGGGGGCAUUAGCUAGUUGGUGGGGUAAAGGCUCACCAAGUCCACGAUGCAUAGCCGGCCUGAGAGGGUGAUCGGCCACACUGGGACUGAGACACGGCCCAGACUCCUACGGGAGGCAGCAGUAGGGAAUCUUCGGCAAUGGACGAAAGUCUGACCGAGCCACGCCGCGUGAGUGAAGAAGGCUUUCGGAUCGUAAAAUUCUGUUGUUAGAGAAGCGGUAUCUAACCAGAAAGCCACGGCUAACUACGUGCCAGCAGCCGCGGUAAUUC